CCUACGGGGGGCUGCAGUGGGGAAUAUUGCACAAUGGGCGCAAGCCUGAUGCAGCCAUGCCGCGUGUGUGAAGAAGGCCUUCGGGUUGUAAAGCACUUUCAGCGGGGAGGAAGGCGGUGAGGUUAAUAACCUCAUCGAUUGACGUUACCCGCAGAAGAAGCACCGGCUAACUCCGUGCCAGCAGCCGCGGUGAUACGGAGGGUGCAAGCGUUAAUCGGAAUUACUGGGCGUAAAGCGCACGCAGGCGGUCUGUCAAGUCGGAUGUGAAAUCCCCGGGCUCAACCUGGGAACUGCAUUCGAAACUGGCAGGCUAGAGUCUUGUAGAGGGGGGUAGAAUUCCAGGUGUAGCGGUGAAAUGCGUAGAGAUCUGGAGGAAUACCGGUGGCGAAGGCGGCCCCCUGGACAAAGACUGACGCUCAGGUGCGAAAGCGUGGGGAGCAAACAGGAUUAGAUACCCUAGUAGUC
rnacentral:rRNA from 1 species